rnacentral:rRNA from 1 species
CAUGCAAGUCGAGCGGUAGCACAGAGAGCUUGCUCUCGGGUGACGAGCGGCGGACGGGUGAGUAAUGUCUGGGAAACUGCCUGAUGGAGGGGGAUAACUACUGGAAACGGUAGCUAAUACCGCAUAACGUCGCAAGACCAAAGUGGUGUACCUUCGGGCCUCAUGCCAUCAGAUGUGCCCAGAUGGGAUUAGCUAGUAGGUGGGGUAACGGCUCACCUAGGCGACGAUCCCUAGCUGGUCUGAGAGGAUGACCAG